CCUCUGUUUUGGAAGCGCACUCUGCUCAGCGCAAGGUGGGGAACAAAAGUAGGGUUCCGCCGGCGACUGGCGGCGGCGACUGGCCGAGGCGACUGGCCGCGUCCAUUAGCGGCGGCGAUUGGCGAUGUCGGCCAUUAGCGGCGGCCAUUCUGCUUCAUCCUGUUCCCGAAGUGGCGCGGUUCGAAGGAGAGGCGUCGGCGGGUCAGCUCGGUCGCCCGUCCCAUCGGGAGCAGCCCAUGGAUUACGAGCCGACGAAGUUCUGCAGCUUGUGAGGGAGGAAGGCUGCACGGUGGAUCUCAUGGAGUCCAGCAAACCCAGGAAGGAGGUACUAUUCGUGCGUGGAUAACCAGCAUGGGUUCAUCGAAUGGCAUGAGGGGCCGACGACACCAUUUAUCCGUGAUUUGUUGGGAGAUCUUCGGGACAAAGUGUGGAUGAGGCUGCUCUUGCUAUUCAGUCCAAUGAGAUAGAAGUUGCUGCGUUGAGAGAGGAAUUGGAGAAGAAGACUGAAGUAAUUUCAGAAAUUGGUGCUAGGUGUAAGAGGAAAGAUGUGAUUCAGAUGUAUAGAUGUGAUUCAGAUGUAUAAAUGUUCAGUUUCCGGAGUGAUGCAAUCUGGAGCUAUCUUAAUUGCAAUGUAAUGUAUCUGAAUCAUGUUGGAAUGAAUUUGAAAGACCCAAAUAUGCUGUGUAUGUCUGAAUAUCUUAGUUUUGACAGACCUAAA